GAGGUAGUAGCUCAGUUGGUUAGAGCGCCAGUUUGUGGCACUGGAGGUCGUGGGUUCGAGACCCAUUUAUCUCC
rnacentral:tRNA from 1 species